rnacentral:tRNA from 1 species
AAGGAUUUAAGUUAAACUAAACUUGUAGCCUUCAAAGCUUCCAAUAAAGAUAAUCUUUAAGCCUUA